GAUAAUAGCUAAACCGUCAUGAACGCACUAAAACUUUGGAAGCUAAGCAGGAUUUAGCAUGGUUAGUACUUGGAUGGGAGUCUGCCUGGGAAUAACAGGUGAUGUAGGCU
rnacentral:rRNA from 1 species